rnacentral:tRNA from 1 species
ACUCGGUUAGCUCAGCUGGUUAGAGCGUUCGGUUUACACCCGAGAGGUCGCUGGUUCAAGUCCAGUACCGAGUA